rnacentral:rRNA from 1 species
GGAAUUUUCCGCAAUGGGCGAAAGCCUGACGGAGCAACGCCGCGUGAGGGAUGAAGGCCUCUGGGCUGUAAACCUCUUUUAUCAAGGAAGAAGAUCUGACGGUACUUGAUGAAUAAGCCACGGCUAAUUCCGUGCCAGCAGCCGCGGUAAUACGGGAGUGGCAAGCGUUAUCCGGAAUUAUUGGGCGUAAAGCGUCCGCAGGCGGUCUUUUAAGUCUGCUGUUAAAGCGUGGAGCUUAACUCCAUUUCGGCAGUGGAAACUGGAAGACUAGAGUGUGGUAGGGGCAGAGGGAAUUCCCGGUGUAGCGGUGAAAUGCGUAGAUAUCGGGAAGAACACCAGUGGCGAAGGCGCUCUGCUGGGCCAUAACUGACGCUCAUGGACGAAAGCCAGGGGAGCGAAAGGGAUUAGAUACCCCUGUAGUC